rnacentral:rRNA from 1 species
AUGCCGCGCUCGACGCCGCUGCGCUCGCCUCAGCUCCACCACAGCUCCGCGCACCCGGUGGCCCCGUGGAAACCUCCUACGGCCCAAGUCCAUGGCCAUGGCCCCGAGCACACAGCGUCCCGCACCUGGCCUCCAUCGUCGUACCACAUGCGCCUUCCGUGUGCCUACUUCGACCUCCACACCAUCCUCCUCCAUCAGCAAGCCACUGCGCGUUCCCGGCGCCGCCCCGUUGCAGCAUCACGCCGCUGGCUCCACGCGACUUGGCCCCGUCCGGCGUCCCGCUCGCCGCCUUCGCUUCGCCCGGCGGCCUCCCGUGCUGUCCGGCUCGCCGUCGCCGCCUCCCCGCCUCCUGGCUGGCUCCGCCCCGCACGCGAGCACCGCCACGCCCUGCUGCCUGCCAUCUUCGCCCGCAACCCGGACGGUCGGCUCCGCCCGCCACCCAGCUGGCCCUACCGCCUGCCGUCUUUGCCUGCAACUCGGACGGCCGGUUCCGCCGCCACACGGCCGCUUGCUGGCCCCGCCCGCAUCUCGGCUGGCCGGCUCCGCCCGCAUCCCGGUAACCCGACACUUUACUUGCUGAGCCCGCAUCCCGGCCGGCCGGCCUCGCCUUGCCUGCCGCCUCCACCUCGCUCGGCCGCCCCGCCGCCUGCCCGCGUGCCGGCUCGCCACCCCGGCUGGUUCCGCCCCCCUAGCCGGCUCCCCUCCUGGGCCGGCUCCGCCUCCCGUCGGCUCGCCUCGCAUCCAGCCGUGCCGCUGCGGCCUCGCCCUGUGCACUCCUCUGCGAGCAAGAGAGAAGGGAGAGAAGAAAGAAAGGUCAAGAGAGAACAAUGCACAAGCCGACUAGAGUUGGACCUAAAAAAAAGAGAUGUCGGGUGCUCGGGGAAAAUAAAAAAAGAAAAGGCCGAGUGCCCGAUCCGGCUGAGAAAAGAGGUCGGUUGCUCAAAAAAGAGGAUUGUUGCCGGUGGAUUGUUGCCGGUGGAGAAAAGUCAGGACGGAUGCCCAGCCGACUGCUCGUGCAGAAGAACCGUCUGGCUACCGACAACCGACAGAAGAAAGAAGAAAGAGGGUGCUGCCAGACGCCUCGCCGCCUGGCCGGCUGUGCCAAGCCGGCUCGGCCGCGUCCCGCUCACCCCCUGA